rnacentral:rRNA from 1 species
CAAGAGCGUAUGUAAAAGUUGUUGCAGUUAAAAAGCUCGUAGUUGAACCUUGGGUUUGGUUGGCCGGUCCGCUUUUUUGCGAGUACUGGAUUCAACCGAGCCUUUCCUUCUGGCUAACCAGUCGUUUCGGCGGCUGGCGAACCAGGAUUUUUACUUUGAGAAAAUUAGAGUGUUCAAAGCAGGCAUUAGCUUGUAUAUAUUAGCAUGGAAUAAUAGAAUAGGACGUUAUGGUUCUAUUUUGUUGGUUUCUAGGACCAUCGUAAUGAUUAAUAGGGACGGUCGGGGGCAUCAGUAUUCAGUUGUCAGAGGUGAAAUUCUUGGAUUUACUGAAGACUAACUACUGCGAAAGCAUUUGCCAAGGACGUUUUCAUUAA